rnacentral:rRNA from 1 species
UACGAAGGGGGCUAGCGUUGCUCGGAAUUACUGGGCGUAAAGGGCGCGUAGGCGGCACUGUUAGUCAGGCGUGAAAGUCCUGGGCUCAACCUGGGAACUGCGCUUGAUACGGCAGAGCUAGAGGAUGGAAGAGGCUCGCGGAAUUCCCAGUGUAGAGGUGAAAUUCGUAGAUAGUUGGGAAGAACACCGGUGGCGAAGGCGGCGAGCUGGUCCAUUACUGACGGCUGAGGCGCGACAGCGUGGGGAGCAAACAGG